rnacentral:lncRNA from 1 species
UGCCAUCGAUAACAUAUAUUAUAUAACAUCUGAAAUAUUCAUACAUUAUCAUCCAAAUAUAAUGAAAACAACACAAAUAUUCUAGUUAGCUAUAUGAUUAAUUAAAAAAUAUUACAAAUGCGCGCAACUUGCUAGACAUUUGAAACGACGUUCUCUGCUUCAGCCUUCUCUUUUGUAGUAGUCCUCAUAGCUCAUCGACUCCCAUCUACUUGAUCCGCCAAGAUGAUAAACUCAAUUACACUAAUGAGCUGGAGAAUUAAAAAAAUCCGACAACAUGUGAGUUAUAUCAAAUAUUGAUGCAUAGUAAUAUAACAGAAUGCAGAAUCUAAAUCAAAUUUGAUAGAUAUAUAAAUAUGAUGAAUGAUUUUCUCAAAAGCAAGACAUUGAUUUGGAUUCAAUAUUUUGGUAAAAGGUUUUACAGAAAACACAUAAGUAAUCUUCAAGAUCUCAAUAUUCUAUCUAUAUUGUUAAAAUGAAAAGAAGAUUACCCUCCACCAACACGAGCGAGUUCACCUGCAAAACAUAGCCAACCCGAGCUUCUUAAAUAAAAGAAAUAUCACUACAAGAAAUUGAGUUUUUACCCACACAUAAUUACCCACACAUAAUAAUGUGUGGUAGUUUAGCCACACAUAAUUUCAAAAUGUGUAGGUAAUUCACACAAAAAAAAUUCAUUAGUUAUUGACAUUUAAAAUGUGUGACAAAAACAUUUUCCUGACAUUUAUUAUUUUACGGUUAUUUUUAAGUUUUAUUUAUGUAUAAUAAAAUUUAUUUUUAAAUUUGUUGCGCCAACGUGGCAAACUAAUAAAAGUUAUUAACCACACAUAAUUCUAAAUUAUCUAUGUGUGGGUAAUGAAUUUUUAUCUUUAUUUAUUCUUGAUAUGUAAGAAACGUGGGAAAAUAUUUUUAGCCACAUUUAUAUUUUGGCUUUAAUUAAUUAUUUAUGCAAAUUUUAAUUGAUGUUUUACCCACACAUAACUACCCACACAUAUUUUAAAAAAUGUGUAGGUGAAACAAUUUGAAACUUUCAAUUAGUUAUUGACAUUUAAAAUGUGUAGCAGAAAAUUUAUUUGUAACAUUUAUUAUAUGGCAAUAAUUUUUUUUUAAGUUUUAUUUUAUUUAAUGCAGUUUAUUUUUAUAUUUGGUGUGCACACGUGGCAAUCUAUUAAUUUUUUUAAACCACACAUAAUAUAUGUGUGGAUAAUAAUUUUUAUAUUUAUAUUUUGACAAAUUAAAGUAAAUUUAAUUUUAAUUUUAUUUUUUAAACGCAAAUUCAAUUUAAAUUUGUAUAGCAUAUUCCUUUUCACUUGUAUUAGUAAUUUUUUUUUUUGAAACGUUCACUUGUAUUAGUAUUAAAAUAGUCUUUAUAUGAAUUCACUAGCAAAUUUUCUUAAUUAAAAAAAAUUAAAUUGCAAAAUCAAGGAUUGAACCCGGGUAUCAAUAGGUUUCACAACUUGGACUUAUCCACUGCACCAAUAACCUUAUGUGUAUUUUUAUACCGUAUACUAACGUUUUAUUUUUGGAUUCUUUGUUAAUGUUGAAAAUUUGAGGAUUCUUAUGUUUUAAUUAAUUUUUUUGUUGCCGCCAUGUUAAUUAGUAAAGUCAGCCGCAACUUUUUGUAUACACAAAACAAUUAAAUAUAUAAAAUUCGUAAAGAGUGGAAUAAUGACAUUUAUAAAAGAGAGGUAAUAUACAAAAAUACAUACACAAAACAAUUAUAUAUACAAUUAAAUUAGAACAAAUAAGAUGUUUCUACUAAAAAAAAAAAAAUACAUAAGCAUAAUAUGAUUUUAUUAAGUAAUUACUGUGGAUUGUUUUCGUUUAUUUUAUUUUUCAAAAAUAAUUUGUAUGUUAUAAUUAAGGUUCAAAAUUUAAAAUUAAUCUAAAAAAUAAAAUUAUUUUACUCACACAAGAAAUUUAUUUUACAAAAUUAUUUCAUUUUACCGCCAUUUUCUAAAACUCCCACUAACUUUUCUAAUUUUUUUUUUUUGAAACCUAUAUUAUUCUAAUUAAUACUCCCACUACUCCACUUCACAUACCCCACCAAAACAUCAUCUUGGCUUCCACUACUAAUCUAUUUGAAUUGUUACGUGACCAAGUUUUUUUUGUUG